GCAGGACUAUUUAUAUCUAGUAUCGUGGUUAUACUUUGUGUAAUAGGUGUUCCUGGUGGAAAGUGUAUACCCCUUGAAACCUUUGACAGAGCUUGUGGGACAGAGCUAAACGUUUAUGAUUCUAUCCGUCUAUUUGGUACAGAAUUUACUCGGAACUGCAGCGUGAUCAUAAACACGGAAGCAAAUACAACACUUCGUAUAUCAUAUGAUAAUUUUUUUGGAUACGGAAAAUUUGAUCUCAAUUGCACAGAGGCGUCUGUAAACCUUUACUUGAAUGGUUCAGCAACAGGGGAUGUUACAGAACUGUGUGGUGAAAAACAAUCUCCUCUUGACGAAUAUCUUACGAUUGGUAAUACAGCUGUUAUAGAAAUUCAACUUAAUGGCAACGAAAACGUAACCGGAUAUGUUCGGCUGAGAAUCACAAAAAUACGAGAAAAUUCUACAUGUGAAACUGGGGAACUUAAAUGCGGCAACGGUCGAUGCAUCAACACCACUUUAUUAUGCAAUCACUAUGAUGACUGUGGGGAUUGGACAGACGAACAUUGUGGUGGUAGUGCCCCCUAUAGUUCCUGCAAUGGUUCGACAGAAUUCACAUGUAAUAACAAACUAUGUGUAAGCAAAAAUUUAACAUGUAAUGGCCACGAUGACUGCUAUGAUAAUUCAGAUGAGAACGAUUAUAAAUGCUGCACUGGUGAUUGGUUCCAGUGCAAAAAUUCGCCAUAUUUUGGAAGACACCAUGAUUGUAUUCCGAUCGUUGAAAGAUGUAAUGGUCAGAAUGAUUGCUCUGAUAACUCAGACGAACAC